rnacentral:tRNA from 1 species
GGUGCUUAGUGGUAGAGUGCUUGCCUUGCAUGCAUGAGGCCCUGGGUUCAAUUCCUCAGCACCA